AAAAGUGGAACAGCAAUUGCAAAACCAGCAGCUGGAGAAUGGGCAGCCCAGUGAGGAAAGAUCAAUGGGAGAAAGGCUUGUAACUUUCUCCCAUUUUCUAGAAAUUCGUGACUUUCUAGAAAACGAAGCCAGUCUCAACAGUGCCUCCAAGGACCUGAAGCUUCUCCAAGUGCUGUUUUGAAUGGGAAGGGAGGAGUCGGAACUGGUCAUCCAGGACUGUCUACAUGGCCUCUCUCUCUUCUCAUCUUCCUCUAAGAAAUUUCUCCAGUUUUUCAAUCUUGACCUCUCAGAAAAAAGAGAUUCUGAUCUUGUGAACUGAUGCUGCAUGUUGAAUGAGUUUUCAUCCUGCAUGAUACUUCAUGGAUUUAUUUGCAUUUUAAUUAUUCUUUUAUACAAAAGAGCCAUAGAAAAGAAAAGUCUGACCCAAGUUUUGUCAAGAUAAAGCAGAGUAUGGGAAGUGGGCAACUGUGAGAACUUGGUUAGAGCCAGUCUGUAUAGUUCAGUAUUUAAUGGGGAAGUUUGGGGUGUGGGAAAUGGGACCUAUUUCCUUUGCUCUUGAGGUUAGGUUGAGCCAUCUGGCUCCCUGCCCUGCAGUUCCCAUAACUGAAGAGUUAUACAUCCCAUAACCCCUGCCCACUAGUGAACCCCUUCCUCAGCUCUGGGACUGAUUGUCUUCAAGCUGAGCACACACUGAGCACUGGGCCUGCCUUCUUCCUAACACAGCAUUCUGACCACAAUGCCAGAAGACAAUACGGAAUUACUCAGUACAUGAAGCACCAGGAAGAUGACAGCAGAAGAGAGAGGACCCAGACAUUGGAAUCAGCAGCCACCAGGUGCAAUCUCCAACAUGUGCGGGCCUUGGAAAACACAAUCGGGCACUCUCUCCUGCCCAUGGAUCUUGCUUGGGAAAGGAAUGGGGCAAGUGGAAAUGGCCAUUUCUUAGAUGAACACAUCAGGGACUUGCUCCAGUCUGAAGUCUAUACAGAGCUAGGCUUUGAAUCCAGUCACGUAACUCAGGUGUGUGUUCAGAGCUUGACGGAUUACCACCAGGCUGGGCCAACAGGGUCGUUUUCAAGUCAGCUAGCCCUAAAAGGGCAAAAAAUUGUUGCAAUGCUCCCAGAUGUAACUCUGACCUGGUAUGGUUCAGGGACGAGGCCACUCACACACACUUGGGCAACUGCUCUUCUCGUGACCAGCCUCUUUCUGUGGGAAUCACUCCAUGGAGCCACCGUCUCUCCUAAGCUACAAUGUUCUACAGUGGUGCAAGUGGGGGAAAAAAUUUCAACAAAAUUUUGGAUAUCAGCUGCUUUAUGAAGGCAUGAUUUAUAAUGAUUUAUUAUAAAAUGAUGGUGUUUUAAUGCUCUUUUUAUUGGUUUUCUAACAGUCG
ensembl:lincRNA